rnacentral:rRNA from 1 species
GACGAACGCUGGCGGCGUGCUUAACACAUGCAAGUCGAACGGAAAGGCCCUGCUUGCGGGGUGCUCGAGUGGCGAACGGGUGAGUAACACGUGGGUGAUCUGCCCCUUACUUUGGGAUAAGCCUGGGAAACUGGGUCUAAUACUGGAUAGGACCAUGCUGUAGGUGGUGUGGUGGAAAGAUUAGUUUCGGUAAGGGAUGAGCUCGCGGCCUAUCAGCUUGUUGGUGGGGUAAUGGCCUACCAAGGCGUCGACGGGUAGCCGGCCUGAGAGGGUGGACGGCCACAUUGGGACUGAGAUACGGCCCAGACUCCUACGGGAGGCAGCAGUGGGGAAUAUUGCACAAUGGGCGCAAGCCUGAUGCAGCGACGCCGCGGGGGGGAUGACGGCCUUCGGGUUGUAAACUCCUUUCAGCCAUGACGAAGCCCUUGUGGUGACGGUAGUGGUAGAAGAAGCACCGGCUAACUACGUG